rnacentral:rRNA from 1 species
UACGAAGGGGGCUAGCGUUGCUCGGAAUCACUGGGCGUAAAGCGCACGUAGGCGGAUUGCUAAGUCAGGGGUGAAAUCCUGGAGCUCAACUCCAGAACUGCCCUUGAUACUGGCGGUCUCGAGUCCGGGAGAGGUGAGUGGAACUGCGAGUGUAGAGGUGAAAUUCGUAGAUAUUCGCAAGAACACCAGUGGCGAAGGCGGCUCACUGGCCCGGUACUGACGCUGAGGAGCGAAAGCGUGGGGAGCGAACAGG